GUUUCGUCAAAGGAAAUUAUUUUUUUAGAAACGAAGCGCUGUCUGAGAUCGGAAUCACCACCUUAUCAAGUGUUGAUAUGAAGUCACAUUACACUGAGAUUUUAAGGAGAUAUAAAUCAAUAGUGAUAAUGAAUGUACUCUGAUUUUUAUAAAGCAUAAAGAAAAUCGGUCAUAUCUAGCCGUGAAAAUGGAGAUGUCACAUAAGGCUAGAGGGAGUGACUCGCCAUGGACUCGCUAUACCACCCCCUCACCUUUGCUUGAGGAGUCGCCAAAGAUGGGCCACUACACCCUUAGCGAGAUGAGAGAGAAAGCAAGAGAAGACUGUGAUUGGUGGUUGAGAUUUGUACAAUAAUCGAAGAAUACUAGAAGAAAAUAAUAAGAAAGUAAAUUACUAAAAUCGUCCCUAUGUUUUGGUCAAAAUUGCACGUUUGGUCCCUAACUUUUUUUUGCGCUCGGAUCGUCCCUGUGGUCUGAUUUAGUUGUGUUUUUCGUUCUUUACAUACAUAAAGUUAGCGACCAAAUGUGUAAUUUUGACCAAACUAUAUGGAAAAAAAAUGUAACAAAAUCAAACCACAGAGACGAUUUGAGUGCAAAAAAAGCUAGGGAUCAAAAGUGUAAUUUUGACUAAAUCAUAGGGACGAUUUCAGUAGUUUACUCUAAUAAGAAAGAUGAUGAACCUGGGUGAUUUUAGGCCUUCAAUGGACUAUAGUCGAA